rnacentral:rRNA from 1 species
AGCGAACGCUGGCGGUAGGCCUAACACAUGCAAGUCGAACGGCAGCACAGUAAGAGCUUGCUCUUACGGGUGGCGAGUGGCGGACGGGUGAGGAAUACAUCGGAAUCUACUUUUUCGUGGGGGAUAACGUAGGGAAACUUACGCUAAUACCGCAUACGACCUACGGGUGAAAGCAGGGGAUCUUCGGACCUUGCGCGAUUGAAUGAGCCGAUGUCGGAUUAGCUAGUUGGCGGGGUAAAGGCCCACCAAGGCGACGAUCCGUAGCUGGUCUGAGAGGAUGAUCAGCCACACUGGAACUGAGACACGGUCCAGACUCCUACGGGAGGCAGCAGUGGGGAAUAUUGGACAAUGGGCGCAAGCCUGAUCCAGCCAUACCGCGUGGGUGAAGAAGGCCUUCGGGUUGUAAGGCCCUUUUGUUGGGAAAGAAAAGCAGCAGGUUAAUACCCCGCUGUUCUGACGGUACCCAAAGAAUAAGCACCGGCUAACUUCGUG